CCAGAAAAGAGAAAAUUCACAAAAAAUAUCAAAUGACAAAAUAAAAAAUAUUAAAAAUCAGAAAUAGAAAUUAUGAAUUAUUUGGGAAAUAAUGUAAUUGGUCCCAUAAUUUUUGGAUUAAAAAUGAAAGAGAUAUUGAUUUUUGAAAUAAAAAGGAAUUUAAGAAAAAAAAUAGAAAUUAGAAAUUGGAAAAACGAGAGCCCUUGGAUCUGAGCUCAUUAAUUGAGCUGGCAGAUCCAAGGAUCCAGAGGCG
rnacentral:lncRNA from 1 species